rnacentral:rRNA from 1 species
AUUGAACGCUGGCGGCAGGCCUAACACAUGCAAGUCGAGCGAGCGGCGGACGGGUGGGUAAUGUCUGGCAAGCUACCUGACGGGGCGGGAUAGCUACUGGAUACGAUAGCUUAUUCCGCAUGCCAUCAGUUGUGCCUAGGUGGGUUUAGCUAGUAGGUGGGGUAACGGCUCACCAAGGCGACGAUCCCUAGCUGGUCUGAGAGGAUGACCAGCCACACUGGAACUGAGACACGGUCCAGACUCCUACGGGAGGCAGCAGUGGGGAAGAUUGCACAAUGGGCGCAAGCCUGAUGCAGCCAUGCCGCGUGUGUGAAGAAGGCCUUCGGGUUGUAAAGCACUUUCAGCGGGGAGGCGUUACCCGCAGAAGAAGCACCGGCUAACUCCGUGCCAGCAGCCGCGGUAAUAC